UACGGAGGGUGCAAGCGUUAUCCGGAUUCACUGGGUUUAAAGGGUGCGUAGGCGGGCUAGUAAGUCUGUUGUGAAAUCUCCGGGCUUAACCCGGAAAUUGCGGUGGAUACUAUUAGUCUUGAAUACUGUGGAGGUUAGCGGAAUAUGUCAUGUAGCGGUGAAAUGCAUAGAUAUGACAUAGAACACCAAUUGCGAAGGCAGCUGGCUACACAGAUAUUGACGCUGAGGCACGAAGGCGUGGGGAUCAAACAGG
rnacentral:rRNA from 1 species